GUGUGUUCCCUUGAGAUGUUGAGUAUAAGGUAACAGCCUAUCUCUUUGGCUCAGGAAAAAGAUCCACUGGAAACUAGGCCGGGAAGCAGCAGCCCCUCCAAGGGCCAGGGCACCUGGGAGACGGGAGGAUUCCAGAACAGCAGCACUGAGCUCCCACCCGCAGAGCCUCUGGACGGCCUUGGCAACAGCAAAAUCAUGGGACAAUACCUCUCUCCACGGAAAGGUCACAGUGGACAUCCCGGGCAGUAGGAUGCAGCCCCAAAGGCUGGUGGCAGUUUCCUGUCCAUGGAAAAGGAAAGCACAGGCUAAGCAGUUGAAGGUUCCCCACCAUUCAGUGAGAGCAGAACCCCCAUUCCCAAGCUUCUGCUGGUAGCAUGUUGCAGUUUCCACGUGUUUCAGGAUCCUCGGGCUGUCGUCAGACAGGUUAAUGAAGAACACUUCUCAACAGUUUCCUUUUUGUUUUCCUUUAUAAUUCACUAAAAUAAAGCAUCUAUUAGUGUCUGAUUUAGGAAUGUAAAAUGAUUCUGUAUUGAUGUAAAUAAGAUUAUCUAUUGCAAAAAGAUAUUUAAAACCUAAA
rnacentral:sRNA from 1 species